AGGCCUCCAGGGUCCCAGCGCGCCUGGGACAGGACAGCAGAUCGGACCCAGCUGGUGUGGGUGGAUGAGGGCCAGCAGCCUUCAGCUAAGAGCAGGGUGGUGGGCCAUAGUCGUCAGAUCAGAUUUCCCAAAAGAAACCAGAAAUCCAGGUUUUCAUGUGGAAUAUCCUGAUUUUUAAAUGUUGGCAACUAAUAAUUUCUAAAUUUGGGGGGUAGGGGAGACUAAGCAAAAGAAAAAUGAGAGCAGGAUUCAACCAGUUACAACCUCUGACCCCGGUGUCCUCCAGAAGGGUGAAGUCAGUUCUUUGAAUCCUAAUGGAUUUAUACAUUUUUCUUACCUGCACCAAGAGCAGAAGUUCCACAAAAAGACAAAAAGAUGUGGAGAGUGAGGCCCAGACAGGAGUGGCCAUCUGUCAUCAGAUACACCUUCCUGACAGAGACAGUCUGCAUGGUCAAAGGACAAAAGGACACAAUCCUCAUGGUCAAUGGCAAGAUCAAGAUUUAUUUUAGAGAGAGGACAAGCAAGGAGAGGGGAAGAAGGAAAGAGAGAAUCCUCAAGCAUAUUCCCAGAAGAGCAGAGAGCCCCCACUGAGAUCAUGACCUGGGCUGAAAUCAAGAGUUGGAUGCUGGGGAU